UGGUCACCUCUGGGCGGACCGCUUGGCCCCUUACGUGGCAACAUGGGCCCAAGCGCUACAGGACGUCGUUGAUGAGGCGCGUCCCCACACCGAGGGAAACUUUACGGAGUACCUACGGUGGUACGUACCUCGUACGCGGACUCGUGUCACCUACACCCCUGAUGAUGUCCAGGGCCACGUCGCAUCGACAACGGAGACAUACCCGGUGCAUUGGGACGAGGACGCCGCUUUAGCAGGAUGCAGCUGCUGCCAUGGACCGCGUCCGGCAAGGGCAUCACCUAAGUGCGUCGGAUGUUGCGAGCUUCAUUAGACGGGUUUUCGAUAAGACGACGCGCGCCCUGAAACUCACCUCCUGCCGAUCUACCACAGAUGCAGCAGGGCCGCCUCCCAGGACGAGUGGUGCACACGCCGAGUCGUCUCGGCCGUCAGACGUGCACCGACGUUCUUCAGUGUCGGCACCCACACGACCCCUCCUAUCACGUCUUGGAGGGUCCGAGCAACAUGGUCCGUCUCCACAAGUCUCGACGCAGCCUCGCAGAUUGAGCCCUGUACGUCCACAGUCAGGUUACUUCGGUGACGAGGCCGGUCCGUCUUCGGCGGCCCCACACCCUACCCCCCCCCCCCCCCCGCAAC